rnacentral:rRNA from 1 species
UACGGGGGGGGCAAGCGUUGUUCGGAAUUACUGGGCGUAAAGAGCGUGUAGGCGGCUCGAUAAGUCCGCUGUGAAAGUCCAGGGCUCAACCCUGGAAGGCCGGUGGAAACUGUCGGGCUAGAGUCCGGAAGAGGCGAGUGGAAUUCCCGGUGUAGCGGUGAAAUGCGCAGAUAUCGGGAGGAACACCAAUGGCGAAGGCAGCUCGCUGGGACGGUACUGACGCUGAGACGCGAAAGCGUGGGGAGCAAACAGGG